AGCGAACGCUGGCGGCGUGCUUAACACAUGCAAGUCGAGCGAAGGUGUUUCAAGGGUAACCUUGAGAUACACUUAGCGGCGGACGGGUGAGUAAUACGUGGAUAACUUACCUCUAGGCCUGGGAUAACCCCGGGAAACUGGGGCUAAUACCUGAUAAGACCACAUUGUCUACGGACAAAGGGGUAAAAGGUGGCUGUGCAAACAGCUAUCGCCAAAAGAUAGGUUCACGUCCCAUCAGGCAGUGGUGAGGUAAUGGCUCACCAAACCAAAGACGGGUAGCCGGCCUUGGCGGGUGAACGGCCACACGGGGACUGAGACACGGCCCCGACUCCUACGGGAGGCAGCAGUGGGGGAAUAUUGGGGCAAUGGGCGCAAGCCUGACCCAGCGACGUCGCGUUGGGGAAGAA
rnacentral:rRNA from 1 species